GAUGAACGCUGGCGGCGUGCCUAAUACAUGCAAGUCGAGCGAACGGACGAGAAGCUUGCUUCUCUGAUGUUAGCGGCGGACGGGUGAGUAACACGUGGAUAACCUACCUAUAAGACUGGGAUAACUUCGGGAAACCGGAGCUAAUACCGGAUAAUAUUUUGAACCGCAUGGUUCAAAAGUGAAAGACGGUCUUGCUGUCACUUAUAGAUGGAUCCGCGCUGCAUUAGCUAGUUGGUAAGGUAACGGCUUACCAAGGCAACGAUGCAUAGCCGACCUGAGAGAGUGAUCGGCCACACUAGAACUGGGACACGGUCCAGACUACUACGGGAGGCAGCAGUAGGGAAUCUUCCGCAGUGGGCGAAAGCCUGACGGAGCAACGCCGCGUGAGUGAUGAAGGUCUUCGGAUCGGAAAGCUCUGUUAUUAGGGAAAAACAUAUGUGUAAGUAACUGUGCACAUCUUGACGGUACCUAAUCAGAAAGCCACGGCUAACUACGUG
rnacentral:rRNA from 1 species